GACGAACGCUGGCGGCGUGCUUAACACAUGCAAGUCGAACGGAAAGGCCCUGCUUUUGUGGGGUGCUCGAGUGGCGAACGGGUGAGUAACACGUGAGUAACCUGACCUUGACUUUGGGAUAACUUCAGGAAACUGGGGCUAAUACCGGAUAGGAGCUCCUGCUGCAUGGUGGGGGUUGGAAAGUUUCGGCGGUUGGGGAUGGACUCGCGGCUUAUCAGCUUGUUGGUGGGGUAGUGGCUUACCAAGGCUUUGACGGGUAGCCGGCCUGAGAGGGUGACCGGCCACAUUGGGACUGAGAUACGGCCCAGACUCCUACGGGAGGCAGCAGUGGGGAAUAUUGCACAAUGGGCGGAAGCCUGAUGCAGCAACGCCGCGUGCGGGAUGACGGCCUUCGGGUUGUAAACCGCUUUCGCCUGUGACGAAGCGUGAGUGACGGUAAUGGGUAAAGAAGCACCGGCUAACUACGU
rnacentral:rRNA from 1 species